rnacentral:rRNA from 1 species
AACGAACGCUGGCGGCGCGUCUUAAACAUGCAAGUCGAACGGCAGGAAGGGGCUUGCCCCUUCUGAGAGUGGCGGACUGGUGAGUAACACGUGGGUGACAUACCUUUUAGUUGGGGAUAGCUAUUAGAAAUAGUAGGUAAUACCGAAUGUGACCGUACCUGUUAGAGGGGUACGAGGAAAGGAGCUAAGGCUUCGCUAAAAGAAUGGCUCGCGGCCCAUUAUGCUCGUUGGUGAGGUAACGGCCCACCAAGGCGAUGAUGGGUAUCCGGCCUGAGAGGGUGAACGGACACAUUGGGACUGAGAGACGGCCCAGACUUCUACGGGAGGCAGCAGUUAAGAAUAUUCCGCAAUGGACGAAAGUCUGACGGAGCGACGCCGCGUGGAUGAAGAAGGCCGAAAGGUUGUAAAAUCCUUUUAAGCCUGAUGAAUAAGCACAGUAGGGAAUGAUUGUGCGGUGACCGUAGGGCUUGAAUAAGCACCGGCUAAUUACGUG